AGAGUUGGGGGUUUGUCAAGGUAUCAGAUACCCUUAGGGUUCGGUGACCCAAUGAACCUCCGGGGCUCAGUUAGUGAGAGAAGAGAGGCCAUCAUCAUUAUCAUCAGUACCAUCUUCAUCUUCUCCUCAUCAUCAUCCUAUCAUCAUGAACCGCCCUAUUCUCAGGCUAUCGACAAGAAGAGAGAGUCAAGUAAAUCUCAUGACUCUCGAUACGUUUAUUGAGUUGAUCAUGGAAUCAGAUGAUCUUGGUGAACUAAAUAUUGGCUCGCUGUUGUCUCUUAUUAUCCCAAGGAAAUUCAAUGAACCCAAGACAACGUUGCUACAGAUGCAAACCUUCACUUUUUUUGUGUGUUUUCACUGGAUAUUGGAUAAACUUUGGAAUCAAGGUAACAUUUUUAGGUAAACCACCUUCAUCGUCAUCGUCAUCACCAUUGCUAGCCCAUUCAUCAUGUUCAAGUUUUACUCUUCCCAUGGCGUCAAGUUGUCUCAGGAGAAGAUGCUUAGGAUAAUGUACCACAUGAUUGUAAUUAAUUAUUUUCUGGUCUUGAACAAGCUAAAGAUAAAAAAAGGAUGAUGAAAACUGAUAAAGACUUUGCAAAUUUGCUUUAAGGUUAAUCAAAUAAUCAUAUCUUCUAAGAAUUGGCUCACAACCAAGACACAAAAUGUAACGUCUUGUUGAUUGACUAAGGUGAGAAUAUGCCAGGAAUGUAGAGGAAAGGAGAGAGGCCCAUCGAUGGAUUAGGAAUAGCCCCUAAGGCUUGGAUGAUACAGUGAUGAUACAGUGAUGAUUGUCUAUCCUUAAGCAGUUUACAUGAUUGUCCAUGUAAAUUAUUAAAACACGCAAAUACGUGUUUUUACACAUUUUACAGCAAAGACUAGCAUGUAACUGUUAAGGAAUUUCUCUCCAUUUGGUACAACAUACAAAUAAUUGUGAUACACAUGUGGAUAUUGACAAUAAUGGUGCAUCUAAUGCUUGAUAAAUUGCUCAAAUACCUGAGCAUCCAUUGAGGCAAACAGCAUAUUCAUGGAAAAAUAAUUACCAAUCGGUUAAAUGAUAAUUGACUGUUAUGAAUUACCAUUGAUGCCAGUGUACCAGUUUACGUACUCUUUUCUUACUCUAUAUGACAUAAUUGGCGUUUUUUGCUAAUCACAGCAAUUUAUUUACGUUUCGCUUUUAUAAUGUUUGCUCUUUUACCCGGUUCCUUCAGGGUAAAAUAAUCAUAACCAUGUAUUUGCUGAUAAAUUUGAAGCUCUCGCUACAUGAUGUUAUAACAAAAAAUGAAACGAUUAUUAAACGCUAACAUAGGUUUUCAGCGAUCAUUAA